rnacentral:rRNA from 1 species
UACGUAGGGUGCGAGCGUUAAUCGGAAUUACUGGGCGUAAAGCGUGCGCAGGCGGCGCGUUAAGACAGGUGUGAAGGCCCCGAGCUUAACUUGGGAAUUGCGCUUGUGACUGGCGUGCUGGAGUGUGGCAGAGGGGGGUGGAAUUCCACGUGUAGCAGUGAAAUGCGCAGAUAUCAGGAGGAACACCUAUUGCGAAGGCAGCUCGCUGGGACGUAACUGACGCUGAGACGCGAAAGCGUGGGGAGCAAACAGG